ACAUUUACCAAAGUCAAGAAUUUAAUCAACAAUAGCUCUAAUUCAUCAUAGAUGAAGUUCUACUUAUUCUUGGUAAAUUUUCAUCAUGCAAUACCACAUGCCUUGGAAUAAAUAUCACACACAAAACAUUGCAUCUAAAAUUAAAUAAAUAAAAUUAAUUUAAUAAAAGAUAAACAACAACAAACAUUUCAAGAUGCAUGCAUCCUCUUCACAACUAUUUGUUUCUUAGGUAUUCAUUUGAACUAUCUUUUUAUUGUAUUGUCCAAAGUUUGACAAACCAACUCUAAUAUGAAAGGUUGAUAAUGUAAAUACUGUAAAACUAUUUUGCCAAGCAUAGCUGUAAGAGUUGAUGGUUCUUAGCAAGCUUUCACUUGCAAACACUUUUUGUUGAAGCUUGAGUAGUAUAAUGCACUCUUUCUUCUGCCAAAAUAAAUUGGCAAUGUAAUAAUAAGCAAACUCACAUCUUUCCUCUCAAACUACUGAUCUAUAUAUAUAUUUUUACUUUUCAUCAACUUG
rnacentral:lncRNA from 1 species